CAUGUUGAGAUCUCACACCCCAUCAUAAAGUGCCACACCCCUUUCUCCUCUCUUCCAUGAAAAUAAGAGGCCGCCCCCUCUUAUGGUCACCCAAAAAAGAAAAAGGGUUGGGGCAUCCAAGAGCUGGAUGCCUCAAACUCCACACGCCAACCUCUCUUCUCCUCCCCAUCUUGGAGUGAUUUUGUGAGAGUUUGAUUGCUGAUUCUUAGGUGUCA
rnacentral:lncRNA from 1 species